AUUGAACGCUGGCGGCAGGCUUAACACAUGCAAGUCGAGCGAGCGGCGGACGGGUGAGUAAUGUAUGGGGAUCUGCCCGAUGGAGGGGGAUACCUACUGGAAACGGUGGCUAAUACCGCAUACCAUCAGAUGUACCCAUAUGGGAUUAGCUAGUAGGUGGGGUAAAGGCUCACCUAGGCGACGAUCCCUAGCUGGUCUGAGAGGAUGAUCAGCCACACUGGAACUGAGACACGGCCCAGACUCCUACGGGAGGCAGCAGUGGGGAAUAUUGCACAAUGGGCGCAAGCCUGAUGCAGCCAUGCCGCGUGUAUGAAGAAGGCCUUCGGGUUGUAAAGUACUUUCAGCGGGGAGGCGUUACCCGCAGAAGAAGCACCGGCUAACUCCGUGCCAGCAGCCGCGGUAAUUC
rnacentral:rRNA from 1 species